rnacentral:rRNA from 1 species
UACGUAGGGUGCGAGCGUUGUCCGGAAUUAUUUGGGCGUAAAGAGCUCGUAGGCGGUCUGUCGCGUCGGUCGGUGAAAAACCCUGCAGCUUAACUGUGGGCGUGCGGUCGAUACGGGCAUGACUGGAGUUCGGCAGGGGAGACUGGAAUUCCUGGUGAUAGCGGUGAAAUGCGCAGAUAUCAGGAGGAACACCGGUGGCGAAGGCGGGUCUCUGGGCCGGAC